AGCGAACGCUGGCGGCAGGCUUAACACAUGCAAGUCGAACGGUCCUUCGGGAUAGUGGCGGACGGGUGAGUAACACGUGGGAACGUACCCUUAGGUUCGGAACAACACAGGGAACCUUGUGCUAAUACCGGAUAAGCCCUUCGGGGGAAAGAUUUAUCGCCUUUGGAGCGGCCCGCGUCUGAUUAGCUUGUUGGUGAGGUAAUGGCUCACCAAGGCUACGAUCAGUAGCUGGUGUGAGAGGGUGGCCAGCCACACUGGGACUGAGACACGGCCCAGACUCCUACGGGAGGCAGCAGUGGGGAAUCUUGCGCAAUGGGCGAAAGCCUGACGCAGCCAUGCCGCGUGGAUGAUGAAGGUCUUAGGAUUGUAAAGUCCUUUCACCAGGGACGAUAAUGACGGUACCCGGAGAAGAAGCCCCGGCUAACUUCGUGCCAGCCGCCGCGGUAA
rnacentral:rRNA from 1 species